UGGGGAAUAUUGCACAAUGGGCGCAAGCCUGAUGCAGCCAUGCCGCGUGUGUGAAGAAGGCCUUCGGGUUGUAAAGCACUUUCAGCGGGCAGGAAGGCGAUAAGGUUAAUAACCUUGUCGAUUGACGUUACCCGCAGAAGAAGCACCGGCUAACUCCGUGCCAGCAGCCGCGGUAAUACGGAGGGUGCAAGCGUUAAUCGGAAUUACUGGGCGUAAAGCGCACGCAGGCGGUCUGUCAAGUCGGAUGUGAAAUCCCCGGGCUCAACCUGGGAACUGCAUUCGAAACUGGCAGGCUAGAGUCUUGUAGAGGGGGGUAGAAUUCCAGGUGUAGCGGUGAAAUGCGUAGAGAUCUGGAGGAAUACCGGUGGCGAAGGCGGCCCCCUGGACAAAGACUGACGCUCAGGUGCGAAAGCGUGGGGAGCAAACAGG
rnacentral:rRNA from 1 species